rnacentral:misc_RNA from 1 species
AAUUCGAUGGUUUGUUUCUUUCUCUCCGCCCCAUUCCCUCACGGGUGGUGGGGUGGACAUUAGGCAAGGCUUGUGUUCCCGGCAUGCCUCGCUUAGUUGCGUGGUGGCCUUGGCCCAUGAGAUUCUUUGCCCGUGCUCUCGGAUGUAGAAUGUUAUGUGUUGCUGGUGGGUGGUCUCUACGAGGCCUCCAUCUAAUAAAGUGAUGCAUUUCGUCCAACGACCCGAACGACUGUUGCGCUCGUUUUUGAGCUCGCAGCCUCAGCUUGGCGGGGUUCAUG